UACGACUACAUAUCAGGCAUAUCAAUAAGCGGAGGAAAAGAAACUAACAAGGAUUCCCUUAGUAACGGCGAGUGAAGCGGGAAGAGCUCAAAUUUGAAAUCUUCAAGGUUCUACCUUGACGAAUUGUAGUUUAAAGAAGUGUUUUCUGUUAGAUGAGUAGCAAAAGUUCCUUGGAAUGGGACAUCAUAGAGGGUGAGAAUCCCGUAUUUGGUUAUUCAUUCUAGCUUUGUGAUACACUUUCAAAGAGUCGGAUUGUUUGGGAAUGCAGUCCAAAAUGGGUGGUAAACUUCAUCUAAAGCUAAAUAUUGGCGAGAGACCGAUAGCGAACAAGUACCGUGAGGGAAAGAUGAAAAGAACUUUGAAAAGAGAGUUAAACAGUACGUGAAAUUGUCAAAAGGGAAGCGUUUGACACCAGUGUUGUUUUUCCGAAAAUCAAUUACGAAUGGCUUGAUUUUGUGUUGUAUUGACCUUAUCAGCUUUCUUCACUUUUUUCGAGUCUUUCUUAAUGCACUUUUCGGUUAACAAGUCAACAUCAAUUUCUUUUGUUGUAAAAGAGUAUUCGGAAGGUGGCUUUCUUUUCGGAGAAAGUGUUUAUAGCCCUAUACUUCUACAAUCGGAGAGAUUGAGGUCUGCAGCGUAGAUCCUUCGGGGUUAGAUACACUUGUGCUAAGUUGUAGCUUUUCAUAGACAACUUGUUGACUAUGAUCAGUCAUGUAGCUUACUCGCAGUAUGCUAUUUUACCUACGCUUAGGAUGUUGAGUAGCGACAUACGCAC
rnacentral:rRNA from 1 species